UUUCAACAGCAGCUUCCGACCUCGGGCUUACCCCUCCUAACCUAUGUCAGCAAAUCGCUCCGCAGUUCGCAAAGUAGGAUCUGGGUUUACGGCCUGUGCCAUCCAUCUGCAAAUCCUGUGGUUUCUACAUCCACAAAUGUCCAGAAUCCACCCGCUUCUCACUACGGCCACGGAUACCGGCAUUAUCAAAGGGCGUCAUCUCUCAACUGAAUUACCGAAAUAGUCUCUUACUUGGCCGUGGUUCCCCCCUCUAGUCUCUUCUGAACACAAUAGCUGUACUGAUCUCUUUAAAAGCCUCUUCUUCUGGGUCCCUGUGCUGAACUAUUGCCCCAAAUAAACCAGACUAACUAAUUCAUCUGAAAGUUCUGGGAGGAAGAUUUUUAUAGAUAAGGAAACCGAGGCUUCAAGUAAAAUGGCCAGCUUUGAGAACGCGGUCUUACUGAGUGGUUUCCGCAUCAGCUGUCCUUUGUGAUUAAAAAAAAGACCCUCGCUGGAACAGAAUGUGACAACCUGUGCUUCAACGUCAGUCCAAAUCCUACGGUGUUCCCCUGGCAGAACUCCUGGCAUUCAGAUGCUUCAAAGGUUUGGGAUGUAGCUCCAGAACUUGUAUUUGGUCUCCUCCGGACUUCUGGAACUUACACUUUGUGCAUGGAUUGGAGUCAUUCUCGGUGUUGCUCACUCAUGUGGCACGCGGCUUUCUGAACCGUGCAAGAUUUCACCUUCCCGAGGAAGGACUCCAUCAUGUCUUGAAGCCUUUCUUGAACCCCUCACUGCAUCUACACUGAGUCUGGCGAUCGAUAGGUCACCCAUAAAUAUGAGAUGAAUGAAAGUGAAUACCUGAUAUUCGGAGAUACUGUCAAAUAGCUUUCUCUGGUUGAUUAAGAGCCUCCGUUUCAACAAAACUGUUUUCUUUUUUUUUGAAAACUUUAUCACUACAGAAAAUUUAGAGAGAAGAUGUAUGACGGACCCAUGUACCCAUG